GGUUUGAUUAGUCUCCUAGGGUUUGACAGGUGAUGUCACAUGAUGUCCUGCCUCAGAUGUCCCACACCAGUAGUCCUGCCCCUGAGGACCACCAUGACGUGCACUUUUGGGUGUUGGUGGUCAUGUGAACCCUCUUUCAUGAUGGUAGCCCAUUGUGGACCAACAGACAAAGGAUUUGAAACCCCUAGCCAAUCAGGGAAGGAAUUGUGAAUUUGUGGGAUGUCAUUUCUACAGAGAAGCCUGGGAAAGCACUUGCACCGAGAUCUGUAAAAACAAAAGAAGGUGUGUUGAUUGCUUUUAAAUUCUAGGAGGCUAAUGUGAACUCCAGUGAUUCUGAUGUAAAAGAACCAUUCCAUAUUAUAAUCUGCCAGGUGGCAGCAGUCGAAGACAACAUCUAUAUGCAGGUAUGAACAUGUUUUUUAUUUUUCGGAUCAGCUGUGUAAGUAGUUAAAGCAAAUUUUUUUUUAAAUCCCCUCUUGAUUUGUUUAGAAGUUUCCAUCUCUGAAAAUAAAUCAGCUGAGCCAUCAAAAUCAAUGUGGUUGAAGCAGAUAUUUUGCCAACAAAGAUGCAGAAACAUCGGACACGACUAAACGACUAAACAAC